rnacentral:piRNA from 1 species
UGGGUGUUUUCUAUAGGUCUUUUGGUCUCCU